GUCAGGAUGGCCGAGUGGUCUAAGGCGCCAGACUCAAGAUCUGGUCUCUCCUGGAGGCGUGGGUUCGAAUCCCACUCCUGACA